rnacentral:rRNA from 1 species
AUUGAACGCUGGCGGCAUGCCUUACACAUGCAAGUCGAACGGCAGCACGGGAGCGAUCCUGGUGGCGAGUGGCGAACGGGUGAGUAAAGCAUCGGAACGUGCCCAGUCGUGGGGGAUAACGUAGCGAAAGCUACGCUAAUACCGCAUACGAUCUGUGGAUGAAAGCGGGGGACCGUAAGGCCUCGCGCGAUUGGAGCGGCCGAUGUCAGAUUAGGUAGUUGGUGAGGUAAAGGCUCACCAAGCCGACGAUCUGUAGCUGGUCUGAGAGGACGACCAGCCACACUGGGACUGAGACACGGCCCAGACUCCUACGGGAGGCAGCAGUGGGGAAUUUUGGACAAUGGGCGCAAGCCUGAUCCAGCAAUGCCGCGUGCAGGAUGAAGGCCUUCGGGUUGUAAACUGCUUUUGUACGGAGCGAAACGGCUUCCACUAAUACUGGGGGCUAAUGACGGUACCGUAAGAAUAAGCACCGGCUAACUACGUGCCAGCAGCCGCCGUAAUAC